GCCGGAGUGGCGGAAUUGGCAGACGCGCUGGAUUCAAAAUCCAGUGACCGCAAGGUCGUGGGGGUUCAAGUCCCCCCUCCGGUA
rnacentral:tRNA from 2 species